AUAGCUGCCCCAGGAGCCCUCUGGCCCCUGCUCGUGGCUUCUCCUGUUUCAAUUUCCAUGUCCUCUCCGUUUUGUAACUCAAGGAGCUCCCCGGCUUAGGAACAGCUGACAAGCCGGCCAGCUCCCCGGCCGUGGCACCUGGGAAGGGGCGAGGGGCAGGGCCUUGCAGGCAUGCUCGGGACACCCUGGCCCCGGCGGCCCUGACGCCCUGGACGGUGAGCAAGGAUGGGUGCUGGGGGGCAGGACUUCGGCUGCUGGACCCAAAGCAUCUGGCAAGGCCAUUCAACACCUGGCGUGGAGGGAGCCCAAAGGGCCAUCAGAGCGAAACAUGCCAACUGCGAAGUGGCUGGCAAUGCUGGUGUUGGUGGCCGAGCCAAUAAAUCCCAAGGCUCUGAUUUAUCCUCUCUCUGAGUGCUGGAGUGGACAUUUCUGAGAACGCCCCUGAAAGGUGACAGCAUGGACCAAGCUGCUCCCAGCUUUGGGCUUGGAGGGGCAUCUUUCCUCAGAGCUCUGGAAUGCCGUGCAUUUGUUUAUCUCGGGCAGUGUGUGUGCCCGCCCACCCUAUCUACCUCCGCUUUCUCCUGAGCUCAGCAUGCCAUUGGCAUUUAAUAAAUGUUAAAAAAUAGCAACAUCUGAGCCACUGACCUUCACAUAAAGGCCUUUGAGACCAUU